rnacentral:rRNA from 1 species
UCGAUUUGGAGUUUGUUGCCUAGAGUGAUGGGCUCCGAAGCUAACGCGAUAAAUCGACCGCCUGGGGAGUACGGCCGCAAGGUUAAAACUCAAAUGAAUUGACGGGGGCCCGCACAAGCGGUGGAGCAUGUGGUUUAAUUCGAUGCAACGCGAAGAACCUUACCUGGUCUUGACAUCCACAGAAUCUUGCAGAGAUGCGAGAGUGCCUUCGGGAACUGUGAGACAGGUGCUGCAUGGCUGUCGUCAGCUCGUGUUGUGAAAUGUUGGGUUAAGUCCCGCAACGAGCGCAACCCUUAUCCUUUGUUGCCAUCGGUUAGGCCGGGAACUCAAAGGAGACUGCCGUUGAUAAAGCGGAGGAAGGUGGGGACGACGUCAAGUCAUCAUGGCCCUUACGACCAGGGCUACACACGUGCUACAAUGGCGUAUACAAGGGGAGGCGACCUCGCGAGAGCAAGCGGACCUCAUAAAGUACGUCUAAGUCCGGAUUGGAGUCUGCAACUCGACUCCAUGAAGUCGGAAUCGCUAGUAAUCGUGAAUCAGAAUGUCACGGUGAAUACGUUCCCGGGCCU